ensembl:lncRNA
CGGCUGGUGGUGAUGGAACAGAACCUGUUCUAAAAGAGGAAACGGCUGGUGGUGAUGGAACAGAACCUGUUCUAAAAGAGGAAACGGCUGGUGGUGCUGGAACAGAACCUGUUCUAAAAGAGGAAACGGCUGGUGGUGAUGGAACAGAACCUGUUCUAAAAGAGGAAACGGCUGGUGGUGAUGGAACAGAACCUGUUCUAAAAGAGGAAACGGCUGGUGGUGUUGGAACAGAACCUGUUCUAAAAGAGGAAACGGCUGACGGUGAUGGAACAGAACCUGUUCUAAAAGAGGAAACGGCUGGUGGUGAUGGAACAGAACCUAUUCUCAAAGAGGAAACGGCUGGUGGUGAUGGAACAGAACCUGUUCUAAAAGAGGAAACGGCUGGCGGUGAUGGAACAGAACCUGUUCUAAAAGAGGAAACGGCUGGUGGUGAUGGAACAGAACCUAUUCUCAAAGAGGAAACGGCUGGUGGUGAUGGAACAGAACCUGUUCUAAAAGAGGAAACGGCUGGUGGUGAUGGAACAGAACCUGUUCUAAAAGAGGAAACGGCUGGUGGUGAUGGAACAGAACCUGUUCUAAAAGAGGAAACGUCUGGUGGUGAUGGAACAGAACCUGUUCUAAAAGAGGAAAUGGCUGGUGGUGUUGGAACAGAACCUGUUCUAAAAGAGGAAACGGCUGGUGGUGUUGGAACAGAACCUGUUCUAAAAGAGGAAACGGCUGGUGGUGAUGGAACAGAACCUGUUCUAAAAGAGGAAACGGCUGGUGGUGAUGGAACAGAACCUUUUCUAAAAGAGGAAACGGCUGGUGGUGAUAGAACAGAACCUGUUCUGAAAGAGGAAACGGCUAGUGGUGAUGGAACAGAACCUGUUCUAAAAGAGGAAACGGCUGGUGGUGAUGGAACAGAACCUGUUCUAAAAGAGGAAACGGCUGGUGGUGAUGGAACAGAACCUGUUCUAAAACAGGAAAUGGCUGGUGGUGAUGGAACAGAACCUGUUCUAAAAGAGGAAACGGCUGGUGGUGAUGGAACAGAACCUGUUCUAAAAGAGGAAACGGCUGGUGGUGAUGGAACAGAACCUGUUCUAAAAGAGGAAACGGCUGGUGGUGAUGGAACAGAACCUUUUCUAAAAGAGGAAACGGCUGGUGGUGAUAGAACAGAACCUGUUCUGAAAGAGGAAAUGGCUAGUGGUGAUGGAACAGAACCUGUUCUAAAAGAGGAAACGGCUGGUGGUGAUGGAACAGAACCUGUUCUAAAAGAGGAAACGGCUGGUGGUGAUGGAACAGAACCUGUUCUAAAACAGGAAAUGGCUAGUGGUGAUGGAACAGAACCUGUUCUAAAAGAGGAAACGGCUGGUGGUGAUGGAACAGAACCUGUUCUAAAAGAGGAAACGGCUGGUGGUGAUGGAACAGAACCUGUUCUAAAAGAGGAAACGGCUGGUGGUGAUGGAACAGAACCUGUUCUAAAAGAGGAAAUGGCUAGUGGUGAUGGACUGAGGAGAUGCAUCUGAAAAGUUCUAAAACAGGAACUGUGUGUGUGUGUGUGUGUGUGUGUGUCGACUGAUUAUGGACAGCUGUGAGAGUCUAGGUUGGAACCCUGGAGGUAGAAACAACCCUUCUCUCUGACUCUGAACUCAACUCCCAGAAUGAGUCUAGACAGACAGACGGAGGGAACCGGCCCCAUGAUACAAGAGACUGGACUCAUGAACCACACAGACAGAUUGACAUAUGGAUAUUAUCUCCUGUUUGUAGCCACUAUCUCCAUUUCAAAGAGAUCUACUGAAGAGACUAUUACAGAGAGAGAGAGAAACCAUACAUUUCCUUUAUUUGUGACUAUUGGGCCGAGCAGAACCAAGGAUAGCAUGUGUGUUUCAGCUGCUGGUUCUGUUUCGGUUUACAGAUGCUGAAAUUGCCCAUAAGCUAUUUUUUGAAUACACAAACCUUCUCAUUAAAAAACACACACACACACACACACACACACAAACACACACACACACACAUAAUGCUCAUCAUGUAGGAAUUGGAUCCCAGGAAAGUAUUCUGCCAUCUUGACAGAUACCUGAACAAGGAACAUGUUUACUUCACCUGUGUGUUUUGUGUACCUCCUAAAGACAUAUAAAUAUCAUUUUUAAUGUGGACAUUUCAGACAUUGGACAGAAUAGCACAAAAAGAACCCUGUAAGAUGUUGACCACGUUAAGCUCAAUAUGUAUUCAUUCUAUGCUAAGUUUUCUGUUCUGCUGAUGCCUAACCGUGAGUUCAUAACACUGAACUCAGAAGUGCAUCUCGAUUUACAUGUUUUGUGUCUUUCUGUUCUUGAGAAAAGGUGUGAUGCUUUAGAAACACACUGUGAUUGUCAGUCUGUAGGAUAUGUCUAUGGUGUUGGUUUAGGUGAGUCUUUGGUUCAAUUGAAAUAUUGGUCCUUGUGUAUCUGAAGAAGCUGCAGUGUUCAGAACGACCUGCAGGGGUCUCCCUCCCACUGAGAAACACUAGAUCUGUCCUAUAGAACAGGACUGGCCAGUAUUCUAAAAGAGGGCCGGUGUGGGUGCAGGCUUUUGCCCCAGCCAAGCAGUAACACACCUGAUUCUAUAUCUGGUGGAUGUUAUCGUUGGAUGCUGAUGCAACACCACACACAUCUUUAAAUGCAGUGUUAACCUACAGCAGGGUUUCCCAGUGGUGUAGUAGGAGCUACACGGAGGUAUACACCCUAAACCCCACAGAUGUUUAAACAGAGGUGUAGGAGGUAUACGCUCUAAACCCCACAGAGGUUUAAACAGUGGUGUAGUAGGAGCUACACGGAGGUAUACGCCCUAAACCCCACAGAGGUUUAAACAGUGGUGUAGUAGGAGCUACACGAAGGUAUACACCCUAAACCCCACAGAGGUUUAAACAGAGGUGUAGGAGGUAUACACCCUAAACCCCACAGAGGUUUAAACAGAGGUGUAGGAGGUAUACACCCUAAACCCCACAGAGGUUUAAACAGUGGUGUAGUAGGAGCUACACGAAGGUAUACACCCUAAACCCCACAGAGGUUUAAACAGAGGUGUAGGAGGUAUACACCCUAAACCCCACAGAGGUUUAAACAGAGGUGUAGGAGGUAUACACCCUAAACCCCACAGAGGUUUAAACAGUGGUGUAGGAGGUAUACACCCUAAAGCCCACUGAGGUUUAAACAGUGGUGUAGUAGGAGCUACACAGAGGUAUACACCCUAAACCCCACAGAGGUUUAAACAGUGGUGUAGUAGGAGCUACACAGAGGUAUACACCCUAAACCCCACAGAGGUUUAAACAGUGGUGUAGUAGGAGCUACACAGAGGUAUACACCCUAAACCACACAGAGGUUUAAACAGAGGUGUAGGAGGUAUACACCCUAAACCACACAGAGGUUUAAACAGUGGUGUAGUAGGAGCUACACAGAGGUAUACACCCUAAACCCCACUGAGGUUUAAACAGAGGUGUAGGAGGUAUACGCUCUAAACCCCACAGAGGUUUAAACAGUGGUGUAGUAGGAGCUACACAGAGGUAUACGCUCUAAACCCCACUGAGGUUUAAACAGUGGUGUAGUAGGAGCUACACAGAGGUAUACACCCUAAACCCCACUGAGGUUUAAACAGAGGUGUAGGAGGUAUACGCUCUAAACCCCACUGAGGUUUAAACAGUGGUGUAGUAGGAGCUACACAGAGGUAUACACCCUAAACCCCACUGAGGUUUAAACAGAGGUGUAGGAGGUAUACGCUCUAAACCCCACAGAGGUUUAAACAGUGGUGUAGUAGGAGCUACACAGAGGUAUACACCCUAAACCCCACUGAGGUUUAAACAGUGGUGUAGUAGGAGCUGCACGGAGGUACAGUGCCUUGCGAAAGUAUUCGGCCCCCUUGAACUUUGCGACCUUUUGCCACAUUUCAGGCUUCAAACAUAAAGAUAUAAAACUGUAUUUUUUUGUGAAGAAUCAACAACAAGUUGGACACAAUCAUGAAGUGGAACGAUAUUUAUUGGAUAUUUCAAACUUUUUUAACUAAUCAAAAACUGAAAAAUUGGGCGUGCAAAAUUAGUCAUUAUGUGCUGUUUUUGAAUGAACAUUUCCAAAUGCUUUCCCAAGGAAAACUUUCAAAUGGAAGCUGCCAUAUGUAACUUUGUGCAACCAAACAAGUUCACAUAGAAAUGUGAAAACGUAUUGCAGAGGUUGAGAUUGUACAAAGACUAUACAAUUACUUAUUGUUUUGUCACAAACUGAAAUUAGGUGAACUUUGAAUUUUAGCAACCAGGAAAUGGUGGAGCUAUUUCUGUAUAGUGCAUCUUUAAAUGUUGACUACAAAUUAGGCCUACAUGAUAUAAUUAUGAUUGUAUCAAUCUGGAGGGCAUUUCUUUUGAAAACUCUGCAAUCACAUGUACUCUACUGUAGGCCUACAUUGUAGAGUACAGACACUGCGAGCCACAUGGUAUUUGGCUAGUUGCUUAAUUAUUUUAAAGGGCAACUAGACCCUCCCAAAAAUAGUAUUUUAUAUUUUUCCCAGACCUAAAAAAUGGUCUCCUUGUGCGGUAUAAGCAUUGAUGUGGGCUUAACAUGCAUUUGUUGUUUUUCUAUGAAAGAUUUUUCUGGCAAAAUGAUGGUGUACUCACUUCUCCAGGCACCGCUACACCAAUGGGUUUUCCUGUAUCUGUGAGUGAUUUGAUUUGGGACCUGAAUCUCCAACAGGCUUAGGCUGUUACGCAAUGGAUCAUCAUGUCUCACUCCCAUAGGCUGCUUCACUUGUCAAUCAUGUCUCUGCUAUCUUGCCCUGUAAUCUGUGAUAUCUCUCUCUCAAACACUCCUCUGUCUCUCAUCGUCAACUCUUUAUUUAAGAUAUUAAGCAAGCUCUACUUCUCUUAUCCUACAGUAUCUUCACCUGUCUGACAAAUCAAGCAAAUGAGAAAAUAAAACAAUCUGAAGAGAACCACACAGGGUUGAAUUGAUGAAAGCUGAAGUCAUUUAGUAAUUUAACUUGUUGACUUAUUGUAAUGAAUUGUAACAUUAUUUUAAAUGAAAUGAUUUAUUAAUGCAAAACAUUGAUGUCUUCUCGCCUUUGGUGUCUCCAACUCUAAUCUCAAUUACCCAGUUUCUAGUGCCCAAGAAUGGAAAGUGUGUGUGGGGGGGCACUUGACACCAGACUGUGUUUGUGUUUGUCCAUCGAUUAUUUCAUUGAUAAACACCCUGGUAGAUAUCAGGUGAUGAAGAGAUAAUAAUGUUGUUCCACUGAAGCCAAAUAAAAUCUAAGAUAAGUCGG